AUGGCGAUGCGUGCGCUGUACAACGAGAUCCGCGCGAUGAAGGUGCGCGAGGUGCCGGCGUACCUCAAGCCGCGCCUCACCUGGGCGAACGUGAAGAAGAGCACCGACCAGGCGGUGGACCGCUACAUCGAGAAGUACAUCGAGACCAGCUCGGCUGACCCGCUCUUCCACAUCUGCUUCGGCGGCAUGGCCUUCUCGUACCUCGUGGGCCUGCCCCAGGAGCGCCGCCACCUCGAGCACCUCGAGAAGCACGGCGGCCACUAG
rnacentral:rRNA from 1 species